UAAGGAAUAUUGGUCAAUGGACGCAAGUCUGAACCAGCCAUGCCGCGUGAAGGAUGAAGGCCCUCUGGGUUGUAAACUUCUUUUAUCUGGGAAGAAAUGCUUGUUUUUUAACGAGUUUGACGGUACCAGAGGAAUAAGCACCGGCUAACUCCGUGCCAGCAGCCGCGGUAAUACGGAGGGUGCAAGCGUUAUCCGGAUUCACUGGGUUUAAAGGGUGCGUAGGUGGGAAUGUAAGUCAGUGGUGAAAUCUCCGUGCUUAACAUGGAAACUGCCAUUGAUACUAUGUUUCUUGAAUUUUCUGGAGGUCAGCGGAAUAUGUCAUGUAGCGGUGAAAUGCUUAGAUAUGACAUAGAACACCAAUUGCGAAGGCAGCUGACUACAGGGAUAUUGACACUGAGGCACGAAAGCGUGGGGAUCAAACAGG
rnacentral:rRNA from 1 species